rfam:Tupaia belangeri cont1.188917, whole genome shotgun sequence.
GCGGGCCGGCGGCUCCGGCAGCCUGGCGAAGGGGGAGGCACGCUCCGGCCAUUUUCAGCCCAGCGGGCUAAGUUUGGAGUCUGGCGGGA